rnacentral:ncRNA from 1 species
CAACAUCAAGAGCGUGAUGGUUCCUCGAAACCGAUAGGUGAGAGGAUCAAAAGGGAACACGGUGAGGCGUACCCAUCAGGGGCCGAAUCCGUGGCUGCCCCCGCAACUGUGAGCGAUGCGUUCAUGUUGGUGCCACUGGCCGCAAGGCUGGGAAGGCGCAUGGAUCCCGAGGGUGUCGUCCCUCGGACAUCGCGAGCCAGGAGACCUGCCAGCACGUGAGCCGGGCG